AUGAACGCUGGCGGCGUGCCUAAUACAUGCAAGUCGAGCGAACAGACGAGGAGCUUGCUCCUCUGACGUUAGCGGCGGACGGGUGAGUAACACGUGGAUAACCUACCUAUAAGACUGGGAUAACUUCGGGAAACCGGAGCUAAUACCGGAUAAUAUAUUGAACCGCAUGGUUCAAUAGUGAAAGACGGUUUUGCUGUCACUUAUAGAUGGAUCCGCGCCGCAUUAGCUAGUUGGUAAGGUAACGGCUUACCAAGGCAACGAUGCGUAGCCGACCUGAGAGGGUGAUCGGCCACACUGGAACUGAGACACGGUCCAGACUCCUACGGGAGGCAGCAGUAGGGAAUCUUCCGCAAUGGGCGAAAGCCUGACGGAGCAACGCCGCGUGAGUGAUGAAGGUCUUCGGACCGUAAAACUCUGUUAUUAGGGAAGAACAAAUGUGUAAGUAACUAUGCACGUCUUGACGGUACCUAAUCAGAAAGCCACGGCUAACUACGUG
rnacentral:rRNA from 1 species